GCGCUGGAAUUGAACUUGUUCGACGUUCUAUGCUGAGGUUAUUCGUAAUUUCCUUGAAUUUUCAGCUCAACAGAUUCGACAAUAUCUUUUGGAUGGAACUUGCGGCGAAAUAUAGCAUGCCAACCAAAUACGAUCAGUGUUAUUAUGAACAAAUGUACGAACUGUUGGAGGAGGAUGGAGGCUCCAGUCUUCAUACAGCCAUCCUGAUCCUAGUUUUCCAUCGCUUCUCAAAAUUAAUUCAGGAAAUUUCGGAUGGUUCCUACUAUAUGGCCACAGCCAACUACCUGUUCCAUCCUUGUCAUACUAUAUCUCAUCAUCAGUCCAAAGCAUAAAUCACAAGCCUAAGUCCUUUUCUUGACAACACAAGCAAGACAAAUCUGCAGUCUAGAGCUAUGUGUUGCUUUAUGCUAUAUCAACAGGUGGUGUGUUUGCACAUGCCACAAGUGUUGUUGCUCUACAGUGCCACUUUGAAAGUGAUCACAGCAACAAAGCCACAGCAGCCUUUGGCCUUACAUAGAUUGGGCAUACUGCAUAAGGGAAACAUAACAAUACUGUUGUACACAAAAUACUUUUAUUGCGUAUUUUGUGAUGGCAGUACCACACGGCUCGUAAGCAUUUGAGAAAACAUCAUUGUUCGACCACCAAGAGAUCAUUAUCAGUUAUUCUGUGUAUCAAGGGAGAUAACUCAUGAAAUGCAUUUCAUAUGUAACUGUCAAUACAAUGCAGUCUGAUGAAGUGUUUCUGUUACCUUGUACAACAUUUAGUCAAUUCAUAUUAGCUAUACACCAUA